rnacentral:lncRNA from 1 species
UUCCUCAUCUCUACCCAGAGGGCGUCUCUAAGCAGCCACUUCAUGUCAGUACGGAAGCCCACAGGAGCCACCUCACUUCAGCAAAACCAAAGCGAUCGUUCAUAGAGUCCAAUGUGUGAGCCUUAAGCAACCCCUGUGUAGAAUCUGGAGGCAGUCUGUUGGCUCGUGGUAAUAAAUGAUGUCUCUUUUUCUUUUCAUAAUAAAAAUUACAUGUUAGCCAUAUUUUCCACCUCUUGGGUGGAUCUGAUGCCAUUGACAUAUUAAAACUGUAGGAUAAAACUAUAAUUAGUAGCUAGAAAUCAGCCAUAAACAGAAGUACUAAACAGCAUUGAACACUGUUGUCAGCUUAUAUCUGGCGAUUUAAAGGCUGCCAAGAAGACAUCAACUGAUGCCGUUCUCUUAGGAGAUUAUUUGGCUUGCUCUGUGUAAAAGCACACGUACUUAGAGAAGGAAAAAAAAAUCCACUGGUAAAAGUUAACUCCUGACAUAAUAUCUGGAAAAUUCUGGAAAAGAUGGGGAGGGAGGGUGUUUAAGUUACAGAUCCCUAAGUCAAACCUGUCCUUACAUGUGUGUAAAAAUCGCAACCUGAGUGAUUUCUAGCUGGAUAUAAAUGUGACUUUUAUCUGCAAAAUACAAGCGCAGCCAAGUAUCUUGUUGGUUCCUCGAGAGGAUCAAACACCUACUUCCAUGAUAUGGUGAAUUGAAGAGUAUUUUUAUAGCCCCCUUUUUGGAACUAUACUUAGGUUUCACCGUGUUGCUGAUAAGACGAGAACAGGCUAGCUAGAAUUUGGAUUGGUGUCCAGGUCAGAGUUGUGCAAAAGUACCAAGAGAAGCACUCUUAGUGACGGCCACAAAUUAGCUCUAACUGGUUCCGAAAGUGUUCUGGACAGUGACGGUCCCCAAAACAAGCCUCUAAUGUCCUCUAGGGAAAGUGUUCAGACAGGACCCUUGAGGUCUGGGUGGCAGUUUUGAUUUCCUUACACAGCCCGUUGUUUCAUAGUCAUGUGUCAUAUAUAUAUAUAAAUAGCUAGCCCAUUUUAUUCAGACUUGUAAAUAACUCAAAGGAAGUUAAUCUAAAGACAAAUAACAGAACCCCGCCAUCUCUCUGCAUGUUCUCUGUACGCUCCAUCAUGCUGGUUGCCGCACUGAACGAUGCGUUAUCACGGCUUGUAACAGUAUACCCGCAAUGGCACUUUAUCUCCUGUGUAUGGACACCUCUGAGGUGCUACUUAAAUCCGAGUGACAUAUUUUUCACCUGUAAAGAUAAGGUACAGGGAUGAACCUUGGCUUAAGGUAUUUUUAUAUGAAAAUGGUGUUAUUGGAAGAUGUUCAAAUGCUGGUUUGAGAGAGGUGGGAGAAGUAUUUUAUAUGUUGAGAUGUGAAAUGUAUUUUCUAGAAUCGGGGAGAAGGAAGUUCUAUAUUUGCAGAAUGUUUUAAACGUGAGUACCCACGAUGCUCCUAUGAACAUCAUUAAGGUUUUGUACGAAAAGGAACCUUGCCGCGGCGUCAUUUAGUGUGUCUGUUCCUGUGUGCAGAGGGCUUUGUACAAACAGCUAGGCCGUUUUUAUAAGCUCUCUCUGAGUUCUGCUCCAGUUACUAUGGCUUAUUUAUUGUUUUCCUUAAUAUUUGUGACAGUCUUACUCUUUCGUUAUGUAGUUUGUUUCUGCACAACUACUGUACUUUUUCCACAUGGAAUAAAAACCAUUACUCCAAGUGGGUUGGCAUUCAUUGCUCAGCGGGUAAGAAGGCAGGGACACCUCUCGUGGCUCUCUGCCUUGAUUUGUCACCCUAAGGAGUAAAAAGCACUUUGAAUACACCAACAGCACGGGUUUUAUUUUAAUUUCAGAAUAAGGUGGGAGCUUCUAGAAAUUCCAAAGUACUCUAGUCUCAUGAUUUUUUUUGCCUUAAAUAGGAAAAAUGCACGGGACGAGCAGUGUGGACUAAUGGGUCUCGCUGGUCACAGAUACUUGUACCCUGUAACCGCCAGUGCACCGUGCCCUCUCAGGACAGCUGCGUCUUCCAGCACAUUUGCAGUGUCUUCUCAUUGAAACUGUCUGUCUUUAUGACCACAGAUUUGUCUCAAACUGUGUAAGAAUAGAGAUUGUUUUGGUUGUAUCAUG